rnacentral:lncRNA from 1 species
GAAGAUUUAUUUAAAAAAUAAAGAUAAAUUUUUAAGUUUUAAUUCAAUUUAUAAAUACCCAUAUUAUUAUAAAGUUUCUAACAAUUGUGUGAAUGGAUAAAAAUAAAAUAAAGAUUCUCGUGUGAGAAGCAUUUGAUUUGGAGAGAAAGUUAAGAAAGCAAGUAGUGUUGUAGGGUGAUGUUGGUAGCAAAAACAAAUUGUUGGCUGGCUGCAGGCUGAAUGG